AUGAGUACAGUUCUGCCAUUAGCUGUUCUUCUCUUCAAGGGGCAUGCUUGCUGCUUUGUACCUGGCAGAGCAUCUGUUGGACAUGUGCUCCUGAGAGCUCCACAAGUCCUUGAAUGUUCAAGGUGCAAAGUUGGUGUGCUACUGUCCAUGGAGUGUUUUGGGUCCUGUCCAUCAGAAGGCUACAACAGCAUGGAUGGAUGCACAACAGACAAUUCAGAUCCACUUCAUUUCUGAAAGAGCGCGACACCUGAGGACAGCCCAGGAUCCAGAAGUUGCAUCCUUUCUUACUGGAACCUCUGGAGCUCUUCUUUUUGGGAUACUAAUUUUGUCUUCAUUGGAGUAACACUACCAGUAUCACAGCCCAGAGGCAGACUCAUAAAGAUCAUACAGGGGUAAGGUGUUUCUUUUUGUUUCUGAAGAUGUUUCUUUUUCAUUUGCCGCUGGCUCAACAAGCUUCCAUUUGUUCAGAAAGUUGACCAUUUUAUCACUUGAAAUGUUUUGACUUCUCCUUACAAACUAAUUCAGUGAAUACCAUGCCUGACCUGACAUUCUAGUCCUGUGUCCUUGGACACUGUGACAUUUCCAGCACUGCAAAGAUUAGAUGUGCUGCAUGUUUUUUAUAUGCUUAGUGCAUACUUCCCUCUGCAGGAAACUUGAAGUCAGUAGCAGCUAUAGCCUGUGGCAGCACUGUGCAACAUGAAGUGUUAAUUCCUAUAAUCUACAGAAAUGGGUACUUGGUUUUGGCCAGCAGUCCUGGUGUUAUAGUCACUUUUUAAGACAUAGACUCAAUGACAGCAACCAAAUGCUACUGCUGGUUCAGCUGCUUCUCUUACAACUUCGUUCUGAUCUAGAAAACAAAAACUUGUGGCUGAAGACUGUGUUUAGCUCACACCCUCCCAGAACUUGUUCCGCUGCAGUGUUUGAUCAUACUUGUGUACAGUCAAACUUACAAGAAAUACUUAAAAUAACUGAGAAGGUACCUGUUCAUAU
rnacentral:lncRNA from 1 species